rnacentral:lncRNA from 1 species
AUUCGCCCGGGUCAGGAGCUGCUCUGUGUGAGGAGCGCUGUCUGCGCAGCCGCCUUGCACUUCCCCACUCCUCCUCCCCCCUCCUACUCGUCCUCCACCUCCUUCCUCCCCCACCCAGCCUUACACCGCCCAGCGCCCCGCCGCCCGCGUAACAGGCGUCUGGGAAUCGCCGGCCGAGCCCCACGCUCGCCCGCUUCGGCUGGGAGCCGAAGCCCGAACGGAGCCAAUCACGGACGUCGUUUGUUUGCGGCUCCUCCCGGAAAAAGCCGAUCAGCCUGAGAAACCAAUUAGAAAGUGACGCUGGGAAGCCACGCCCAAAGAGCGGAAAAUGCCGAAGGUAGCCGAACGGAAAGGGUGAAUUCGCCUUGUUCGGUGGCUGGCUGGAGGAGACAUUCGACAAUGGCAACAGUGGCCAAUCAGAGUCGCCGGCCCUUACGAAGAGGCUUGAAGAGUUGAGGACGGUGAAACCCAGAGACGCUGGUGAAACUGCACGGCUGGGCGCCGCCGCCGCUUUGUGAUUGGCUGGAAAACUCCGCUGGGAGCGUACCUCCUUCGGUGAUUGGUGAAGAGAAGGGGGCUUCCGAGGACAGUCUGGCCAGUCAGGACUUCCCCUCCCUCUCCAAGGUGGGGAGAAGAAAGCGAAGGGAGGGCGUCUAUAAAGCGCUGUCUCAUUGGCCUGAAGCUUAGGCGCUGGAGUUGGGGCAAAAGGGAGAGGGAGGGAGCCCGAAACUCGCGGCGGCGGCCAAUCGGCUCUCACUGCCGUCCAAUCGCAAGACCUAGCUGCAGUGUGAUUGGCCUUCGGCCCCGGUCCCAGGAGCGGGGAGAUGCCUGACUCGGGUCGUGGCUGACGACCCGACGGUUCGCCUGCGGCCGCCUCCAACAACGGUGGAAACCGCACACAGGGACCGCGGGCCCUCGGUGCAGCAAAUCGGAAAGUGCUGCGGUCGGCGGCCCUGGGCUCUGAGCGCUCAAGCGAGCAGAGGGGUGGAGGGGCUCUCCCCACCCACAGGAGGCUCUCGGCGGGGCGCAGCCAAUUCUGCGCGCCCAAGGCUCCCCUCUGCCGUGGAUCGCGUGUGCCGAGUGUUGGCCUCUUCCCCGAAAGGGCCAGACGGACCAAGGGGGCCUUCCCAGCCGGCUGCAAGCUCUCAGACGCUAAAAUGGGAACAAAGCUUCCAGAAAGGCAGCGCCUUUGGGCGGCCGCGCCCCGCCCAGCCGCGGGGGCCAUUGAUACAGAGGCUUGCUGCGCUUGGUGUGCGCGGCCCGGCCGGGCCUCUGGAAACGCCCAUGAGAAAUGAGCUCAUGCUGGAUGCGCGCGCUCCUUGGGCGCAACUGCCCAGCGCAAAACGGGCCCCGAAAGCAGGUGAGGGGAAAUGCCGUCAGGCCGGAUAUCCUGAAGCCUCCGAGGAAAUGGGGGGGUCAGAGGAGCCCGUGGUAGCUUUGGAUCUUUUGGAACUAGGGUGAUCUAUAAAAGUGCAGCUUGAGAAGAUUUCAUACAUAAGACCAGCGUCCAUUGUUCUACCAUAGAACCAGUUCCUUUGGUCUGCUUUAGAACAGUGAGGUAUGGCUACGUCAAGAUAACAGAGAAAGUAGAACAGACAGUUGCCAUCCUGAUUGUAAUCCAGUGGUGCCUGUAAUUUCUACCUGCAGAGUCAUCUCUUUCUGUUAAGAUGCUGUCUCCAGAAAGCACAUGUUAAAGGACCUAUAUUUGAUCAGAUUACCUGGCUCUUGCUUUGAAACACUGAUGAAGGACUUGGGACAGAACAAAGUAAGCUUUGAUGGAAGACAGGAAAGGUCUAGAUAGUGUUUGCAGAUUCAAAUGGCUACAGAGGCCAGACAAGUAAAGCAAAUGAGUGAGACUGGCCUUGUGUAAGACAAUGGGGAAUGAUAGGGAAAAUGGCAAAUUGGAAUAUCCAUGCCAUAACUAAAAGGAACAGCUGCUCAACUCUAGCAGAUUGUUGCCCUCAGGAAUGUGGGUCCAGUGUUCUCAGAUGUUCAAUUUUUUUCCUCCCAAAAGAAACCCCAAAAUUGGAUUUUUGUGUGAAAUCUCUGCAUUUUUAAAUGUUGGUAACCAAAUUUUCAAACCCUGCAGGCCAACCUAAAAACAUCCCUUGGCCAAUGAGGCAUUGGAAAAAGUGUUAAUAAUUGUUAGGGGCCCGAUAGCAGUAGGAGGGUGAAAACAAAAUGGUUUGGGACCUUAAAUAAUUGAAAUGUAUCUUUAUUUAUUUAUUUAUUUUUGAGACGGAGUUUCACUCUUGUUGCCCAGGCUGGAGUGCAGUGGCGCGAUCUCGGCUCACCGCAACCUCCGCCUCCCCGAUUCAAGUGAUUCUCCUGCCUCAGCCUCCCAAGUAGUUGGGAUCACAGGCAUGUGCCACCAUGCCAGCUACUUUUGUAUUUUUAGUAGAGACGGGGUUUCUUCAUGUUGGUCAGGCUGGUCUCGAACUCCCGACCUCAGGUGAUCUGCCUGCCUCAGCCUCACAGAGUGUCAGGAUUACAGGCGUAAGCCACCACACCGGGCCGGUUGAAAUUUAUCUUUAAAAUAGUGCACCUUUAAUCCUUUUUUUAUUUCUGUGUGUAUCUUAUAAUGUGCAUAUCAUGUUAGCUCAAGAUCAAGAGUUUAUGGACAAGCCAGGAGUGGUGGCUUAUGACUGUAAUCCCAGCAAUUUGGGAGGCCGAGGCAGGUGGAUCGCCUGAGGUUAGGAGUUCAAGACUAGCCUGGUCAUCAUGGUGAAACCCCGUCUCUACUAAAACUUUAAAACUUAGCUGGGCGUGGUGGCGGGCGUCUAUAAUACCAGUUACUUGGGAGGCUGAGGCAGGAUAAUUGCUUGAACCCAGGAGGUGGAGGUUGCAGUGAGCUGAGAUCGCACCAUUGCACUCCAGCCAAGGCAACAAGAGCAAAACUCCGUCUCAAAAAAAAAAAAAAAAAAAAAGUUUAUGAACCACUAGUUUAGACAAAGAAUAGUUGUACAGUUGUACAGAUGGAUAAGGAAGGAAAGAACAUUCCAGGCAAAGAGAAAAGGUUAUGCAAUGGCUGAAAUGUUUAACAAGGUAUUUGGAGACCUUGAGAUAGUUUGAAAUUAUGUAAUGUCUAAGAUGUGGGCCAAGAGAAAAUAAAGGAAAAUAUCACAGGAUAAUAGAGGAGUAAAGUAAACUAUGCUGUAUUAACUCCAUAUUAGGCAGCCAGUAAAAAUAAAUACAACCACCAAAAGUAACUCAGAAAUAUGUUUAGGAAACAAUACUAAUUGAAAAAUAUAGAACUUCAGGUUGUAUAUCUACCAUAUUUCCAAUCUGUAAAAUAUAAGUACAUUUGGAUCAAGAUUGGAAAGGAAGACAAAUUAGAAUAACUCGUCAAUAACAUAUUUAAAUAUAAAUGAAAAUAUUUAAAUGUCUUUGCUUAGUAUUUUUAUAAUAAAUUUCUAUUUUUUUACUUUUAUUUAUCUUUUAAUCUCACUGUUAUCCAGGAUGGAGUGCAGUAGCACAGUCAUAGCUCACUAUGGCCUUGAACUUCUGGGCUCAAGCAGUCCUCCCACCUCAGCCUCCUAAGUAGCUGGGAUUACAGGUGUAAGCCACUGUACCCCACCUCUGUGUUUGAUUUUAAGGGGAAUUGGCCCAAAAAAUAACAUUUAUAUUAUUUCUUCACUAUGAUUCACAUGUCCCUCAGAAGCCUCUAAUUACAAUGGAAUUCUUAAAAAAAAUUCACAUUUCUCAGCAAAGCUUUCCAACGAAAAUUUUUAUGAUAAUCCUUUGUCAUAUAAGUUAAAAUAGUAAAACUAGACAAUAGUGAGUAAGUAUUAUAUUUGAGACACCUGCUAGGCAUCUGAUAUAAGGUGGAUGAGAGGAUCAGUGUCCUUUGGGAGUUUACCCUCUAGGGAAGCAACUACAUGAAAAGUUAAAUAAAUUAUAAAAAUCACAUUUUGAAUUGAUAAAAGUUAUGAGACAGAACAUAAUUUGGUUUUUAUUUAUUUUUUUGAGACAGGGUCUCACUUUGUCCUCCAGGCUGGAGUGCUGCGGCCUCAACCUCCCAGGUUCAAGGGAUCCUGCUGCCUCAGCCCCCCAAGUAGCUAGGACUACAAGGGUGCACCACCACACCCAGCUAAUUUUUGUAUUUUUUGUAUAAAUGGGGUUUCGCCAUGUUGCCCAGACUGGUCUCAAACUCCUGGGCUCAAAAUCUGCGUGCCAUGGCUUCUCAAAACGCUAGGAUUACUGGCGUGAGUCACCAUGCCUGGCCUAUAAUUUGUUAAUAUGGUUGUUACUACAAAGUUUAAAAUAAAUUGCCCAUGCAUUCCUAUUUAUAAUAGGUGAGUGGAGGACACUUCAAUCUAAAGUGAUCUUAAAGGAGGAGUAGUAGGAUUUGAAGAUGAAGAAAGAAGAGGGGAGGUAAAUUACUUUCCAUCACUUCAAUUUCAACCCAUCAGAUAAAACCUCUCUUUAGUAAACCUGCAUGUGGGUGGAGCUGUAACAGCAAUUAAGGACAGUGUGACUCUGUUCUUCUGACUUUGGGAAAACCAGUUUGGCUGGAACAAAAAGCUGAUAGAGAAGACUAAUGGAAGAUAAGGUUGAAAAGGUAGGUUUGAGGGAGCUUUGUUACAGGAAAAAAAAAAAAAAAAAACUGGGCUUUGUCCUGUAGACAGUGGAGAGGUACUUUAGCAGAUGUAAGACAUUACCAUUAUAGGAAAGCCUCUGAAGUAACAUACACUGUGGUUUUUCCUGUUGCUGAAAAUAUGCCCAGAGUAACAAGAUGUGGCAUAGUUGGUUAUGUGUCUUAUAACCAGUGAGGUGUGCCCAAAUGGGAAAUUAAUGAAUGACUACCCAAAAAGAAGAGGGAGAGUGUUUGAAACACUGUCACUGUGAAAUAGACUGGUUGUAUGAAAAGUUGCAUAUCAAGCCUUUGGCAAAUUAUAUAAAUACUCUGAUUUUGACAUCUUAAAGGAGUAUACUAUAGAAAAUAAAAGAAAAACACUUGAAUCUGUUACAGGAAACGGGUCAUGAUCCAGACCCCAGGAGAGGGUUCUUGGAUCUCACACAAGAAAGAAUUCAGGGUGACCCCACAGUGCAAAAGUCAAAGCAAGUAUUAAGAAAAUGAAGGAAUAACAGAAUGGCUACUACAUAGAGCAGCCCUGAGGGCUGCUGGUUGCCCUUUUUUUUUUUUCCUUUGAGAUGGAGUUUUCGUUCUUGUUGCCCAGGCUGGAGUGCAAUGGCGUGAUCUCGGCUCACCACAACCUCCACCUCCCAGGUUCAAGCAAUUCUGCCUCAGCCUCCCGAGUAGCUGAGAUUACAGGCAUGCGCCACCACGCCCGGCUAAUUUUGUGUUUUUAGUAGAGUGAGGGUUUCUCCAUGUUGGUCAGGUUGGUCUUGAACUUCCGACCUCAGUUGAUCUGCCCGCCUUGGCCUCCCAAAGUACUGGGAUUACAGGCAUAAGCCACCGCACCUGGCCUGGUUGCCCAUUCUUUAUGGUCGUUUCUUGAUGAUAUGCUAACCAAGGAGUGGAUUAAUCAUGCCUCCCCUUUUUGGACCACAUAGGGUCUAAACUGUCAUGGCACAUUUGUAAACUGUCAUGGCACUGGUGGGAGUGUAGCAGUGAGGACGACCAGAGGUCACUCUCGUCGCCAUUUUGGUUUUGGUGGGUUUUGGCCAGCUCCUUUACUGCAACCUGUUUUAUCAGCAAGGUCUUUAAGACCUGUAUUUUGUGCUGACCUCCUAUCUCAUCCUGUGACUUAGAAUGCCUUAACUGACCAUCUGGGAAUGCAGCCCAAUAGAUUUCACCCUCAUUUUGCCCGGCUCCUGUUUAAGAUGGAGUUGCUCUGGUUCACAUGCCUCUAACAAAUCCUUUUAGUUUUUCAUGCUUGUCACAUGUUUACUUCUAAGGGUAUAAUCAUGUGGUUUACUAUAUUAUUACCGAUUAGAUUAUUUUGAACUACUUCAAUUUUAUUUAUUUUACCUCAUUUCCAUUCACAUUUUUUGAAAAGAGCUUUUUUAUACAAGAGUGUAAAUAUUUUC